AGCAAAGAAGAGCACACAUUCACUCUCUGCAUGCGACGAGACUUGGAAUGUUUGCAAGGAACCCAUUGAUCCAAUUAGCUGACUUUUCCAAUGGCCUGCAGGUGUCGAUGAAUGGUUGAAUGAACAAAUCCAAGCUUCUCUCCUAGUUCCUCAACAGUUAUGAUGGGAUUCUGUUCCACCAGGAUUUACAGAACAUCCUCGUUGAGCUCUACAGAUCUUUUAGGAUGAGGCCUGUCUUCUAGGUUGUAGUUUCUUUGUUAGAAUGAUUGGCC